rnacentral:rRNA from 1 species
UACAGAGGUCUCAAGCGUUGUUCGGAUUCAUUGGGCGUAAAGGGUGCGUAGGCGGCGCGUUAAGUCGGGCGUGAAAUCUCGGGGCUUAACUCCGAAACUGCAUUCGAUACUGCCGUGCUUGAGGACUGGAGAGGAGACUGGAAUUUACGGUGUAGCGGUGAAAUGCGUAGAUAUCGUAAGGAAGACCAGUGGCGAAGGCGGGUCUCUGGACAGUUCCUGACGCUGAGGCACGAAGGUCAGGGGAGCAAACGGG